GUGUUGUUUGUCUGAAGGAUCGCUCGGCUGCCCAUUCAGAACGCAGGGUGCGCACCGGAAGAUCGCUGCAGCAGCAGCAGCAGCAGCAGCACACGGGACCAAAAUGGCGUAGCGCGCAGUCCGCUGCUGCAGCAGCGCAGCGGGGCCAGGCUCACCGAACAUCCCAGAGCCUGGCCCGUCGUACUCCAACCGACGAGUAUGAUGGAGGUGGCUUUUAGUUUCAGUUCACUCGCUUCGAAACCUGCACGAGAUCAGCGGAGACGUGCCCUUCAUAUGUCAAAUCAAGAAGAGAAAGGAACAGUCCUGAAAGGAACUCAUGACCAGAAAAGAUCGUCAUGUCUUUGUUCUUCAAACUGCUCUCCAUCCCGAUAAGUUGACUUUCCUCCAGCGUUAUUUCAGGGAAGUGUUUGUUCAACAUACCAACUGUCACUGGUCUAUGAAAAUAUCAUCUCUGCACUUUGGAGACGACAACUGAAGUUGUUUUUAUCCAUGAAAGAACCAUAAACUCAUCAUGUGUCCAAAAAAGUAACACAAUUGUGCCACAGUAAAGAGCAUCAUCUGGUCAUAUUUGUUAUAAAUAAAUCAAGUGGAGUACUUAUAUGUUGCAGGUUGUGUUAAAGUGAAGUGAAAAAGGAAAUGGCGAAAGUGCACUUGCUUUGCAGGUAAAACAAAUGUACAUUUAAAAACGAAAUCAUGCAAGCAAGAUAAAGUAGCUUCAUCCAACAAUUUUAUUAUCUGCAGAUUAAGUGCCUAGACACAUCUCUUUUGAAAAGCUUCUGUCUCUUGCUUGUCUAUUUCCAUGGCUUAGCUUUAAACCUACAAGUAAAGCACUACUUG
rnacentral:lncRNA from 1 species